AUAGCCUACGGGAGGCAGCAGUAGGGAAUUUUCGUCAAUGGGCGCAAGCCUGAACGAGCAAUGCCGCGUGAACGAGGAAGGUCUUCGGAUCGUAAAGUUCUGUUGAAGGGGAAAAAGAGCGGAGAGAGGAAAUGAACUCCGAUUGAUAUUACCCUUCGAGGAAGUCGCGGCUAACUACGUGCCAGCAGCCGCGGUAAUACGUAGGUGGCGAGCGUUAUCCGGAAUGAUUGGGCGUAAAGGGGGCGUAGGCGGCCUGCUACGUCUGGAGUGAAAGGUACCGGCUCAACCGGUACAGGCUCUGGAAA
rnacentral:rRNA from 1 species